AACGAACGCUGGCGGCAGGCUUAACACAUGCAAGUCGAACGCCCCGCAAGGGGAGUGGCAGACGGGUGAGUAACGCGUGGGAAUCUACCGUGCCCUGCGGAAUAGCUCCGGGAAACUGGAAUUAAUACCGCAUACGCCCUACGGGGGAAAGAUUUAUCGGGGUAUGAUGAGCCCGCGUUGGAUUAGCUAGUUGGUGGGGUAAAGGCCUACCAAGGCGACGAUCCAUAGCUGGUCUGAGAGGAUGAUCAGCCACAUUGGGACUGAGACACGGCCCAAACUCCUACGGGAGGCAGCAGUGGGGAAUAUUGGACAAUGGGCGCAAGCCUGAUCCAGCCAUGCCGCGUGAGUGAUGAAGGCCUUAGGGUUGU
rnacentral:rRNA from 1 species